ensembl:lncRNA
GGGAGGAGGAUAGAGAGAGAGAGGAGAGGGAGGGAGGGAGGAGGAUAGAGAGAGAGAGGAGAGGGAGGAGGAAGAGAGGAGGUAGGGGGAAGGAGUAGAGAGAGGGAGGGAUCGGAGGGAGGGGAGAGAGGAGGAGAGGGAGGGAGGGAGGGAGGAGGAUAGAGAGAGAGAGGAGAGGGAGGAGGAAGAGAGGAGGUAGGGGGAAGGGAGUAGAGAGAGGGAGGGAUCAGAGGGAGGAGGAGAGAGAGGGAGGGAGGAGGAAGGGAGGAGGAUAGAGGAGAGGGAGGAGGAAGAGAGGAGAGGGAGGGGGUAGGGAGGAGAGAGGGAGGGAGGGAUCAGAGGAAGGGAGGAGAGGGAGGGAGGGAGGAGGAUAGAGAGAGAGAGGAGAGGGAGGAGGAAGAGAGGAGGUAGGGGGAAGGGAGUAGAGAGAGGGAGGGAUCAGAGGGAGGAGGAGAGAGAGGGAGGGAGGAGGAAGGGAGGAGGAUAGAGAGAGAGAGGAGAGGGAGGAGGAAGAGAGGAGAGGGAGGGGGAGAGGAGGAGAGAGAGGGAGGGAUUUAGGAGGAGGGGAGAGGGAUGUGGGAGGAGGGGAUGAGGGGAAGGAGGGAGGAGGUCCAGGGCAGAGUCUCUCUCCCUCUCCUCAUGCUUCCACACACUGAGGCCUCCUUGGGACGGAUGGCAACAACCUCUUCAUAGGGCAGCAGUAGAACCU